AGUUCUACUUGUAAAGAUGUUUCACAAUUGAGAUGUAGGUAUGCCUAUGAAAGUUUAUGUAGCAAAAUUGGUGCCAAACUGCAAAGGAGUCAGUUCUUGGAGGGAGCCUAAGGAACUUUGGAUCUAUAAGGAGGUCUUAAAGAUACUUAAUAGAAAAUUCUCCAGCUCCUCAUCACACUGCAAUUUCCAGGGCUCUUGGGGAAAGCCAUCACAGUUAAACAGUGCACAGUUAAACUGGAAUAAAAACAAUAAUUUGUGAUGUAUAAAUAUAACCUAUCGAUCUUUAUCUACCAAUUUCUACAUCCCGAUAUGAGAGAGAUUGCAUCCUAAAACAUUACA